UACGGGGGGGGCAAGCGUUGUUCGGAAUUACUGGGCGUAAAGGGCUCGUAGGCGGCCAACUAAGUCAGACGUGAAAUCCCUCGGCUUAACCGGGGAACUGCGUCUGAUACUGGUUGGCUUGAAUCCGGGGGAGGGAUGUGGAAUUCCAGGUGUAGCGGUGAAAUGCGUAGAUAUCUGGAGGAACACCGGUGGCGAAGGCGGCAUCCUGGACCGGUAUUGACGCUGAGGAGCGAAAGCCAGGGGAGCAAACGGG
rnacentral:rRNA from 1 species